GACCCAUGUGAUCACUGACUGGGUCUGUCCCUGCCAGUAUAAAUUCAUCCCGUAGAUUAGUUCGAGUUGCACAAACUUCAGGACAAGGUGUGAGUGAUACUUGCACUGACGAUUCCAUUGCUCACCCAUCAUCACAGCGCGGACCAGCAGACACACAAAACUGCAGCAUCUUCCCUUCAUCACAGGAGUGAUUAAUUGAAAUGUUUCACCUGGAAAGAGAACACUGAGUUAUACGUUUGAUAGACGCAUAACUACAGAACUGAAAUUAAUUUGCCUGACCUGAUGGAUUCCUGCUGCCUUGCCCCAGAUGACUCCGUCCCUGCUGUGGCUGACACUUACGACACGAUGCAACAUCUCGACAUCUGGCACCAGGAGGUCCCUGUAGUGGGAGCAGCUGAAAG